rnacentral:lncRNA from 1 species
AGACUUUGGAGUGUGACAGACCUGGGCCGAAUGCUGCCCUGAGACUUCCCCGCAGUCACUGACCAUGCUGCCGUUCCUAUCUGUUAAAGGGCCAUGAAGACACCUCCCUCCAAGACUGGCACCAGAGGGGAUAUUGCGUGGGCACAGUGUCUCGUGCAGUGACGACGCUGUUUCAGGAUUUCCUUACAGGGUCAAGUCCUUGGCCAGAUCUAGGUGAUCCUGGUAACUUACGGAGAAAAUCAUCUUGGCUGAUGUGGUCAGGCUACGGCAGCCAGUCACACAGAGGAAAGAGGAAAGGCAGAUCUCCAAUGUCACUGAGCAUCUACCACAUGUCAGGCACUACUUCAAAUGCUUGGCACAUGCUAAUUCAUUCAAUCCUCACAAUAACCUAUGAGCAAGCCUUCGUUGCUGUUCCAUCUUAUGGAUGAGGACAAGAGUACCUGGCCAGCUAAGGAACUUGUCCAAAGUCACACUCAAAGCCAGAUGCAAACACAGAAGUCAGAUGCCAGAGCCGUUGCUUGAAGCUCCAUGCCAUCUUGUCUCACAGAACGACCCGGAAAGACAAGCAGAGAGAAAUAAUGAUGGGCAAUGACAGAGCAAGAUUGCAGAUGGGGCUGAGGAUGGGUUCAAGCCCCUAUGGUUCUGGAACCUUUAGGAGGUUCUGGAAGGUUCUAGAGUCUUUCUUCCCUUGGAUUCCUCAAGCAACCUCAGCAUCCUUUUCCAGGUACCAAAGACAAUAUCUCUGUAUCCUUUUGUUGCUUAAGCUCCUUUGAGUUGUACUUUAUUUUUCAUAAAGAAUCUUGACUUAUGCAUCUAUUAAGUGACAGAACUGAGUUUCAAACCCUCAUGUGCCUAAAAUGCAUAGCUGCGUCUCUAAGUUUUCUCACCUGGAAAUGGGACUAUUCUAGUACCUACCCUGCUGGAUUAUUGUGACAGUUGGGUACAUUGAUUCAGUAAAGCUCUGAAAAGAAUGCCUGGCAGCUAAAGGUACUCAGCAUUAUUAUCAAGUUAUUAAAUUAGUGUUAUCAUCAGCUCCAUUUUGCAGAUCAGUACACUGGGACAAAAGAUGUUAUGAACUUUGUCCAAGAUCACUCACCUGGCACCAUUUAUUAGCAAAUGGCAGAGCCAGAAAUUGAAACCAAGCAGUCAUUGGAGCCUCUCGGCUUCACAUCGACCCUGGGAGGGCCCUCAAGAAGUCAUCUGCCCCCUGCCCUUCUGUCCAGAGCUGAGUGGGUGUUCCAGGAGCCUGGGCCAGGCUUCCGGGGCAGAAGGACUCCCACAGCUGGAGCUGGCUCCUUUCCCAGCUUGCUUGGAAUUUAAAGAACCUCAAGAAGGUGGGGCCUUCCAGCUCUGAGCUGCAGCGGCCAGUUCACAGGAGAGCUGGUUGUUUAAGGAGUUCCCCUGUCACCAUGAGACAUGCCUGCUCCAACUUCACCUUCCACCAUGAGUAAAAUCUUCCUAAGUCCUCAUCAGAAGCCAAGAAGAUGCUGGUGCCAUGCUUCCACAGCCUGCAGAAUGAUGAGCCAAAUAAACCUCUUUAUAAA